GAUGAACGCUGGCGGCGUGCCUAAUACAUGCAAGUCGAGCGAACAGACGAGGAGCUUGCUCCUCUGACGUUAGCGGCGGACAGGUGAGUAACACGUGGAUAACCUACCUAUAAGACUGGGAUAACUUCGGGAAACCGGAGCUAAUACCGGAUAAUAUAUUGAACCGCAUGGUUCAAUAGUGAAAGACGGUUUUGCUGUCACUUAUAGAUGGAUCCGCGCCGCAUUAGCUAGUUGGUAAGGUAACGGCUUACCAAGGCAACGAUGCGUAGCCGACCUGAGAGGGUGAUCGGCCACACUGGAACUGAGACACGGUCCAGACUCCUACGGGAGGCAGCAGUAGGGAAUCUUCCGCAAUGGGCGAAAGCCUGACGGAGCAACGCCGCGUGAGUGAUGAAGGUCUUCGGAUCGUAAAACUCUGUUAUUAGGGAAGAACAAAUGUGUAAGUAACUAUGCACGUCUUGACGGUACCUAAUCAGAAAGCCACGGCUAACUACGUG
rnacentral:rRNA from 1 species